rnacentral:misc_RNA from 1 species
CGACCGCGACCAUAUUUCAUUCAUUUCAAUUCCAGAUGAGAAAGCUUUAAAUAGUACAGAGAGGAACAGAACUGCUACGUUAAUAACAGACAUCCAAACUCCCUAAUUUAUUAUCAAAACUUGUUUUAUACUACAAUAGUACAUAGAUUUUACUCUGAAUAUGUACUACUUCUGGUAUGUGGCAAGUUCAAUCCCUACAGUUCCAAAUAAGACAAGCCAAUCUGAAUACUAUAAUCAGCAGGAGCAGCUACCAUAUGCACACUACAGGACUAGCUACAAUACCAUUGUAAUGACACCAAAGGUUCCACAUCGUAGUUCACUGAAUCCAUAAAUCAUGGGUUGAUCACAGGGCUUCUAUUAAUUGCUGGCGACGAGGAUAUGAAGUUGCCUGUUCUGUCUGCAGAGCAAACUGGACUAGUGGGAAUUUCUUUCCGCAAUGAAUUGCUCUCUCUAGGAAAGGAUUUGCAAGCCCCUGGUACUUGAGUCCCCUGGUAAGCAUUGCAUACAUAGCUCACAAAAUUCUCGAAGUCCUCUUGGAGAGGUUGAUUAUUUACGACCACCCAUGGUACAAAUCUAUGCGGUGGAUUAAGCCGGGCAGUUUCAGCAGCAAAUUGCUGUUCAAGCACAUUCCCAUAUCCACUUGUGUAGCAAUCAAUGGGAUCCUUACCAAACCCAGCUGUUUCAAAGCAAUUAACCCAUUCAUUGAGUCUGUUCUCUAAGGAAAGGCGCUCAAUACAUUGUAUAAAACUGAAAUGCCUCUCCACAUCAGGGUAGGUAGUUAUGGCGCAGGCUUCAAUGGCAUUUAGGAAGCAUUCAUUUGGCCCAUGCUGGCAAACGAAGGCACCAUCAGAUUGGAUAAAAGCAUUGCCCCAGGGGAUCAUCCUAAGAUCGACGAUGGAAAUGAGUCCUCCAUCAAACACCUUCACCAGAUGAUUCACAAUGAAAUCUGCACAAUAUGGGCAAAGAGUUUCAUAGUACAAAGAAAGAGUCACAUUUUGACUGGUGGAAGGAGAUGAUAAACAAGUGAAAAGAAAGAAAGCGAAGAGUGGACGAAGUGAAGCCAUUUUUGAGCUGCAAAAGUAAAAUGAAUCUCUUAGAGAUGGGUUUUUAGAAUCAUUUGUUGGCAAUGCCAAUUCCAAUGCCACCAUUAAAAAAGCACAGCGAGAAGAGGAGGACAACUCUUGUGCUCACACACAGUGGGCCUCUCCCUCAACGUGGUCUUACUCUUUCAUUUGCUUUUUCAACUUUUUUUCUCUUCUUUUUCCACUCUCUCAGGGAUUGGUUGUUU